GAUGAAGAACGCAGCGAAAUGCGAUAAGUAAUGUGAAUUGCAGAAUUCAGUGAAUCAUCGAAUCUUUGAACGCACCUUGCGCCCUUUGGCUAUUCUGAAGGGCAUGCCUGUUUGAGUAUCGUGAACACCUCAACUCUCAUGGUCUGCCAUGAUGAGCUUGGACUUUGGGGGUCUUGCUGGCCUACUGUCAGCUCCUCUCAAAUGAAUCAGCUUACCAGUGUUUGGUGGCACCACAGGUGUGAUAACUAUCUACGCUUGUGGUUUUCUGCCAGGUAACCUCUAGUGAUGGAGGUUCGCUGGAGCUCACAAAUGUCUCUCCUCAGCGAGGACAGCUUUUUGAACGUUUGAUCUCAAAUCAGGUAGGACUACCCGCUGAACUUAAGCAUAUCAAUAAGCGGAGGA
rnacentral:misc_RNA from 1 species